rnacentral:rRNA from 1 species
UACGAGGGCCCCGAGCGUUAUCCGGAAUCAUUGGGCGUAAAGGGUGUGUAGGUGGUUCUGUUAGUCUUCCGUUAAAUUCUUCGGCUUAACCGGGGGCAUGCGGGGGAAACGGCAGAACUUGAGGAUGCGAGAGGUGUGUGGAACUCUAUGUGUAGGGGUGAAAUCCGUUGAUAUAUAGGGGAACACCAAAAGCGAAGGCAGCACACUGGCGCACUCCUGACACUGAAACACUAAAGCGUGGGUAGCGAAUGGG